UCGCCUACGGGGGGCAGCAGUGGGGAAUAUUGCACAAUGGGGGAAACCCUGAUGCAGCGACGCCGCGUGAGCGAUGAAGUAUCUCGGUAUGUAAAGCUCUAUCAGCAGGGAAGAAAGUGACAGUACCUGACUAAGAAGCCCCGGCUAACUACGUGCCAGCAGCCGCGGUAAUACGUAGGGGGCAAGCGUUAUCCGGAUUCACUGGGCGUAAAGGGAGCGUAGACGGAAAGGCAAGUCAGAAGUGAAAACCCAAGGCUCAACCAUGGGACUGCUUUUGAAACUGUCAAACUAGAGUACGGGAGAGG
rnacentral:rRNA from 1 species